GACGAACGCUGGCGGCGUGCUUAACACAUGCAAGUCGAACGGAAAGGCCCUGCUUUUGUGGGGUGCUCGAGUGGCGAACGGGUGAGUAACACGUGAGUAACCUGCCCUUGACUUUGGGAUAACUUCAGGAAACUGGGGCUAAUACCGGAUAGGAGCUCCUGCUGCAUGGUGGGGGUUGGAAAGUUUCGGCGGUUGGGGAUGGACUCGCGGCUUAUCAGCUUGUUGGUGGGGUAGUGGCUUACCAAGGCUUUGACGGGUAGCCGGCCUGAGAGGGUGACCGGCGACAUUGGGACUGAGAUACGGAGCAGACUCCUACGGGAGGCAGCAGGGGGGAAUAUGGCACAAUGGGCGGAAGCGUGAUGCGGCAGCGCCGGGUGCGGGAUGACGGCCUUCGGGGUGAGAACCGCUUUCGCCUGAGACGAAGCGUGAGUGACGGUAAUGGGUAAAGAAGCACCGGCUAACUACGUG
rnacentral:rRNA from 1 species